rnacentral:rRNA from 1 species
UGGGGGAUAUUGCACAAUGGGCGAAAGCCUGAUGCAGCAACGCCGCGUGAGGGAAGACGGUUUUCGGAUUGUAAACCUCUGUCUUCGGUGAAGAAACAAAUGACGGUAACCGAGGAGGAAGCCACGGCUAACUACGUGCCAGCAGCCGCGGUAAUACGUAGGUGGCAAGCGUUGUCCGGAAUUACUGGGUGUAAAGGGAGCGCAGGUGGGGAGACAAGUCAGCUGUGAAAACGAUGGGCUUAACCCAUAAACUGCAGUUGAAACUGUUUUUCUUGAGUGGAGUAGAGGUAGGAGGAAUUCCGAGUGUAGCGGUGAAAUGCGUAGAUAUUCGGAGGAACACCAGUGGCGAAGGCGGCCUACUGGGCUCUAACUGACGCUGAGGCUCGAAAGUGUGGGGAGCAAACA